rnacentral:rRNA from 1 species
UGCUAGAAGAUGACGAGUGGCGGACGGGUGAGUAAUGCUUGGGAACUUGCCUUUGCGAGGGGGAUAACAGUUGGAAACGACUGCUAAUACCGCAUAACGUCUACGGACCAAACGGGGCUUCGGCUCCGGCGCAAAGAGAGGCCCAAGUGAGAUUAGCUAGUUGGUGGGGUAAAGGCUCACCAAGGCAACGAUCUCUAGCUGUUCUGAGAGGAAGAUCAGCCACACUGGAACUGAGACACGGUCCAGACUCCUACGGGAGGCAGCAGUGGGGAAUAUUGCACAAUGGGGGGAACCCUGAUGCAGCCAUGCCGCGUGUGUGAAGAAGGCCUUCGGGUUGUAAAGCACUUUCAGUUGUGAGGAAAAGUUAGUAGUUAAUACCUGCUAGCCAUGACGUUAGCAACAGAAGAAGCACCGGCUAACUCCGUGCCAGCAGCCGCGGUAAUACGGAGGGUGCGAGCGUUAAUCGGAAUUACUGGGCGUAAAGCGCACGCAGGCGGUUUGUUAAGCUAGAUGUGAAAGCCCCGGGCUCAACCUGGGACGGUCAUUUAGAACUGGCAGACUAGAGUCUUGGAGAGGGGAGUGGAAUUCCAGGUGUAGCGGUGAAAUGCGUAGAGAUCUGGAGGAACAUCAGUGGCGAAGGCGACUCCCUGGCCAAAGACUGACGCUCAUGUGCGAAAGUGUGGGUAGCGAACAGGAUUAGAUACCCUGGUAGUCCACACCGUAAACGCUGUCUACUAGCUGUUUGUGGCUUUAAGCCGUGAGUAGCGAAGCUAACGC